rfam:Drosophila ananassae strain TSC#14024-0371.13 Ctg01_19250, whole genome shotgun sequence.
GGGGACGUAGCUCAGGGGUAGAGCGCUCGUUUCGCAUGCUAGAGGUCCCGGGUUCAAAUCCCGGCGUCUCCA